CUUGACUCUCCGAACUUCUCCACCGUCACCGUUUCUUCCAUCAUCCUCCACUGAAUCCUCCGAGCAGCUUGACUCAUCUCCACCACGUCCAGAUCAGCAGCUUUACAUAGGUCUGAUUCUGGUGGUCAAGAUCUUCAUUUUAUCGAUGCCUUUGAUGAUUUUCUGCAAGAAGAGAAGAUCCACCAAACCUAAAGUUCCACCUGUGGAGAUGAACAACAUCAACAUCUCAGAGGUCAACCGAGUGUAUGAGGAGAUCAGAGAACACAGACAGAUCAGUUCUCCUCCUGUGGAAAUGUCUUCAGUUCACUGCAACGCCAAAUACACCAAAUCAAACAGAGCUGAAGACACCUCAGUUUAACCAUCUGUAAUCUGAACAAGUAAGAAAACUGUGGUGGGAUUUUAGCUUCCAGGUAAGAACUCAGAUUACUAACAAAUUAGACUGAAUCAGACAACAGAAAAUGACUUUUUAAUUACGCGGUGGAAAGAUUUUAUGUAUUACAAUCAGAUAAUGCUGUAUUUUGUAUAACUGUUGUGGAAUUUUCUCUAAUAUGUGAUCCAUACAGGUAAAAAUAGACCAUGAAUAACACUGUUGGGUCUUAAUCCAAGUUCACAGGACUAGUUGUGAAUGAACCUUCUAUUGUUCAGUUGACCAACAAAACAAAUAAUAAUUCUGCUUCACCGUAGAGAAAAUAUGUCGCAGGCUGUGUUUAAAGAGAGAAAAACUUCAAAUACCUGUUCUUAUGUAGCCUUUACAUCGGGUUAAAUGUGUAUUUUGAGUAACUGUGAUGAAUAUCUGCACUGAGUAGGAUUAUUUUAGGCGAAAAACAAAUCAUGAUUGUUUUCUGGUGGGAAAAAGAAACAGUUUCUUCUUACUUAUUGUCUGCAGAUAGCCUUCAGAUAGAUGUGACAUCUGUCAACAAAAUCAGAGAAGCUGACUCAUUCUUUUAUGUUAUAACUGUGCUGUCAAAAUGUUUUAGUUUAGCUUCUCUUCCAGCAUAAUUCUGCUGUAUUUCCAUUUGGUUUCAUUUCCAUUAUUGUGUCUCUGUGGGUCAUGAUAAGUUUGCAGAUUCAGAGAACUGAGGUGAACACAAAGUUAACACCACCCACAGAACCACAACAGUCACAUUAAAGGGAAAUACAGCAGGUUGAAGUAAAUCAGAAUCAUCAUUUAAAUACUUUCUUUAUAUAGUAAUUUUGACAAAGAUUAUUGUUUUUAUUGAAAAGUAAAGUGCUUCUUGUGGAGUUCACACUGUAAAGUUACUCAGGAUAAUUAAUCUUUUAAAUGUUUUUAUUUUAUAUAUACUGAACUGUAUAGAGGGGGAGAUCAGGUCUUUCUGUGAGCUGUUGUGUUGCUUUUUCACAAAUAUAUGUUUUUUUAUUCAUGCUAUAUAGUCCUGCAAAAAAGAAGAAGAUAUUGCAAAAAUUAGUUUGCUAAAACAUUUUACAUAGCCAUCAUUUAGUCACCAUGACAACAACAAGCUGUAAACUCUUUAAAUAUCCAACAGUAACAAACCUCCUUCACUUUAUUCACCAACUCAACUGAUAUUUUAGGAAAAACAAAACAAUAAGAAAAGUGUAUUCUACAUGUGUUUUUUUUAAUGAAAAUAAACUUGACAUUGAAUUGAACAUUGGCAGUUUAAACAGGAUCUGGUCUUUAUGUCUUAAUAAACAUUUUUAGAUAUAUUUUGAUCCACUGUUUUCCUCCAGUUUAGCAGUGAAAGUGUAACUACUAGUUACUAUGAGACACUGCAGCAGGUUGGUACUAUUAAAGGUCAACGUCAGGUUACAAUAAAAAUAUUCCCUCCAUGUUGUUCCUGUCACAUUUUUCCUCACUGUUGGUUCAUUUUUCACUGUAAAUCCUGCAGCUGUAUGGAAACAGAACAACCAUGACACCCAGUGGCUGCAUCUGGGUUUAAACAGAGGUGUAAUGUUUGUGCAGUUACUUGUUUCAAGUUUUAUAAUUCUCUUUUAUUUUCUCAUCGGGAA